UGGGGAAUAUUGGACAAUGGGCGAAAGCCUGAUCCAGCCAUGCCGCGUGUGUGAAGAAGGUCUUCGGAUUGUAAAGCACUUUAAGUUGGGAGGAAGGGCAGUAAGCGAAUACCUUGCUGUUUUGACGUUACCGACAGAAUAAGCACCGGCUAACUCUGUGCCAGCAGCCGCGGUAAUACAGAGGGUGCAAGCGUUAAUCGGAAUUACUGGGCGUAAAGCGCGCGUAGGUGGUUCGUUAAGUUGAAUGAGAAAGCCCCGGGCUCAACCUGGGAACUGCAUCCAAAACUGGCGAGCUAGAGUAGGGCAGAGGGUGGUGGAAUUUCCUGUGUAGCGGUGAAAUGCGUAGAUAUAGGAAGGAACACCAGUGGCGAAGGCGACCACCUGGGCUCAUACUGACACUGAGGUGCGAAAGCGUGGGGAGCAAACAGG
rnacentral:rRNA from 1 species